rnacentral:rRNA from 1 species
GUCGAGGGGUAUAAGAAGCUUGCUUUUUAGAGACCGGCGCACGGGUGAGUAACGCGUAUGCAACCUACCUUUUACAGGGGAAUAGCCCGAAGAAAUUCGGAUUAAUGCUCCAUGGUUUAUUUUGAUGGCAUCAUUUGAAUAAUAAAGAUUUAUCGGUAAAAGAUGGGCAUGCGUGUCAUUAGCUAGUUGGUAUGGUAACGGCAUACCAAGGCAACGAUGACUAGGGGUCCUGAGAGGGAGAUCCCCCACACUGGUACUGAGACACGGACCAGACUCCUACGGGAGGCAGCAGUGAGGAAUAUUGGUCAAUGGAGGCAACUCUGAACCAGCCAUGCCGCGUGCAGGAUGACGGUCCUAUGGAUUGUAAACUGCUUUUGUACGGGAAGAAAUGUGCCUACGAGUAGGUAUUUGACGGUACCGUAAGAAUAAGGAUCG